AUACGGAGGAUGCGAGCGUUAUCCGGAUUUAUUGGGUUUAAAGGGUGCGUAGGCGGGCUGUUAAGCGUGAGGUGAAAGCUCGGGGCUCAACCCCGGAACUGCCUCGCGAACUGGCGGUCCUGAAAGUCCGUGCCGUGGGAGGAAUGUGUGGUGUAGCGGUGAAAUGCAUAGAGAUCACACAGAACACCGAGUGCGAAGGCAUCUCACGAACGGAUGAUUGACGCUGAGGCACGAAAGCGUGGGGAUCAAACAGGAUUAGAUACCCUGGUAGUCCACGCAGUAAACGAUGAUAACUAACCGCUGGUGCGCCAGUAUCAGUGGCCAAGCGAAAGCGAUAAGUUAUCCACCUGGGGAGUACGACCGCAAGGUUGAAACUCAAAUGAAUUGACGGGG
rnacentral:rRNA from 1 species